GCCGAACUGGCCGGUGGCGUAGCCCAUGCCCUUGAGCGUCGUGGCGAUGGUCACCGCCUCGGCCGGGAUGCCGAUCGCAGCGCCGGCUUGGCC
rnacentral:tRNA from 1 species